rnacentral:misc_RNA from 1 species
GAGAUUGCCCCUCUCGAAGUAGUUGUAGUUAAGGCCCAUCAGGCCGCCCCAGGACUCCAGGUUCGGGAUCUCCACCCCCUCGCCGUAGGCGUCGUAGAACCUGACGCUAAUGAUGGAGUCCGUUCCUCCCUUGAAGAUCGACCCGGUCCUUAUGUACACCGUAUACACGCAAUCUUCAUCGGCAAAAACGGCGACUGUGGAGACGGCGAGGACGAGGAGGAGAAAAGAGAGACAGCGAGUGUUGAAUGCCAUGUUUGGCUGUGGAAAUGCGAAACUG